AAAAGGGCAUACCAAACAAUAUCCCUGUGGAGCUGGGUGUUUUUGGCCUUGGCAUUCCACAGAUGUGACCUGAGAACUUGCAGAAUGUACAUGAAAGUGCAAUUCACAUAAUUAAUAUGUUCACUGCAUGAAGAUUUUAUUCACCAUAAGUAGGGAUGGUGAAAGAUGGACAGAAAGCACGGAAGUCUGAGGUGGGAAGUUCUUUGCUCUUUUUAAAAAGAUGCUUACUGCUGAAGUAAGUACAAAACAGGCAAGCAUAUUUUAAUCAGGGGAUAUUUUCAAGGCUUGCAACAAUAAGUUACAUUGGAUCUAUCCAGGAAGGAUUUUAAAAAUUCCCAAUCAAACCUAUCUCACAUACUUCAUUUUUAACAAAGGAAGGGAAGAGAAAAGAGAAAAAAAAGAAGAAAUAAAUUGAGUAUAAUGUGGCAGAUGCCUUUCUCACUGCCUAUAAUUGUGUAAAGAAACAAUACAAUGCAGUAAAACUUGGCGGAUUUUAUUUGGUUUAUUAGCUCCGGCUGCAU
rnacentral:lncRNA from 1 species